AAAGCUAGACAAAACAAGCUUGAAACAACAGGAAAAAUUAGCAGGUGAGAUAUAUAGACUAUGCUAAAAUUCUUUUCUGUUUGCAGAGGAAACAUCACAGAGCAACAUGGGCCGUCAAAAAAAUGAAAACAAAAAAAACCCAGAAGAACCAACCCACCAAAACCUACUGUUUCUCUUUCCAUGUAUAAAUUAUUUGUCAAGCUUCAGUUUAUCAGCACACAAAAAUAGAAAUAAUCUUUAUGAUAAAAUCAGAUGGGGAAUGGAAGAAGGAGAAAUUCUCUUGAUGUAUUAACGUCUGAAGUGCAAACUCCAGAUUAAACAUUUACAGUCACUGACAUUUAUUCCUUCAGUAUCCUUAGUCUUUUAAAGAUGUUACUACCCUGCUUUCCCAUUCUUCUUUAACCCUUUUCUUUGUCAGAGCUUACCUCCACAGGAGUGAUGCAGAAUACCUUUUAUCUCCUCACCAACACCUCUAAAAUUCAAUUGCUUAGCUUUACAUUGCAGAAAGGGCAAACUCCGAGAGAGCUGCAAGACUCCAUACUUCAGGAAUCAAUAAAUGUCUGCAUGCUUAAUUUUGCAAAGCACCAAAGAGUAAUUUUGUUACUGCAAAGAGUAAUUUUGUUACUUUUCUGUGGAAAGAGUAACAUUGAAUAAAAAGUAAAAUGGGGUGGGAGUAUUUGAGAAUUUACACUGGUUUAGAUUCAUUAGAAUAUGUCUUCCAGUGCCCUAUUUUCUCAUUUUCCAGCUACACAUGGCUAACAAUAGGCCUUGUUCUAGCCACAGUCAAAUCUUUAGGAAAAUUUUCACAAAACCUAGAAAAAGCAAAAUUAUGCCAUUACUUCAUUUAAGGAAAAGUUUGUACAAAAAUAAUACUUCCUUUCAUAUUUGAGCUACUCUUUACCACCUACAUCUUUUAGUGAAUUUAUCGUUUAUUGAAUAUAAUGCAAUUUAGUUGUAUGUGGUAAGAUAAUUCCUUUGAAGGAUUAUUGAUGUUAGGUUUUGUGCACAACCACAAAGGAAGCACUAAAUGACAUGUUACUCUCCUGCUGCUCCAUCUCUGCCACUCUUAUUAUUGGAAAUUGCACGGCAAUCUGAGCUCUGAAGGCUUUGGUUACCUCUAUUUCCAUGUUGGUAUUGUCAGAUUGUGGUUUGACACGGCAAUUAAUAUUUGCAAAAGUAAUUCUAUAUUUUCAGGGUGGAACUUUUCUUCUAUAUUGCAGGCUGAAUUUUCUCAUGGCACCAUUUUGAGAAAGUAUAUUCAAAUAUAAGAUUCAUAGAUAUUAUUUUUAUUUCAUGUUUUUUUUUUUCUCCAGCAUCAUAAAGUAUCUGAAUAUAUUUUGUCUUAAACAUGAACAAGAGAGCCUUUCUAUACCAGAAAUUAUACUGUGCUAAAUCUUUUUUCCAUGUUCACUUUUGAUAAUUCAACAUGAAAUUUUUAGGUAGAUCUCUCUCCUUCACAAUUGUGUUUUACACAAUGUGGUGCUGCCUCAAGGCACAUAAAUUAAUUCAGAAUGAGUUAGCACAGACAUGAGAACUAAUAUAUGAUAAAUUACACUGGAUUUCAUUUUGAGGAAACAUAGCAAUAAUGGUUUGGAUACCUAAGCCAGCAGGGAUGCUACUCAUGACACAGCAUUCUGAUAUAUGGAUACCUGUUUAAUUUCUUCAGAUUAGGUUCCCAGCCCUAGGGAAAAAAAAAAAUGUUUCUAAAAGGAUUAAAAAAUACCGUAAACAGUCUUUGUUUUCUCAAUGCGGUCUCAGUUUUGAAACGAAUGAAAAAAAAUUAAUAAAGUAGAGUUGAUACAAGUUUAAGUAGGAUAUACCUGGGAGUUCUUAAAUGGUUAUUGGUUCCAAGCAGUGUAGGUAUCUCUUCUAACAAAUAUAAAACUGAACAUAAUGAGUUUGUCAAAAGCUGGGCUUAGAAUGCACAAUGGGGAUAUCUCUAGGUUUUGUCAGAUUUUUGUUCUCUUGCAAUAUUUAUAAUUGUUCCAGUGGGAGUAGGGCAAGGAAAAUGCUCCUGAGAGUUUCACUUGGACAUACCCUUAGUCAGAAUGCAUGAUGGACAUCUCAUUGUCUUCCACGUUUCAGCAUUAGGAUGUACAAACACAAAUGAACCAAAAUGAAACCAAAAAAAACAAAACCAGACUUAGAAUGAAAAAUACAGUUGUCUGAUAACCAGAACAUUAGCAUUAAAAAUCAGAAACUCUGAUCACUGAAUCAAAUAUGUAAUUUAUCCUAGACAUAAUAAAAAUGAAACACAUGAGAACAAAUAUUGAACUGAAGUUGCUGUGCUAUGCUUAGUUCACACACCUUCAUGCCUAUAAGUUUGGACUAGUAAAGGGUUUCGGAAAGAAUAGAGUGGUAGUGAUAAUAAUGUAAAAAACAAUUUUCAACUCGAGAUAAGAUAUUCAUUACUUUCUAUUAGUUUAAAAAAGUGAAAGACCUUUUUUUGCUGUGUUUUUCAAAUAUAUUUAAGAAUUUUUUUCAAAGAUUUUUUUGGUAAUGACAUCUCUUUACCAUAAGAGUAAGUUUAUUAAAUACGCAUAUGUCAAAAAAACUGGAAGGAGUAAAUAUCCUAAUCUAAUGUGUUCAUCUGUUAUUGAAAUUGGAUUUCUUGAAAAUUUUCUUCAGGAAAUCAGCUAACACUGAGGUCUUUCUUCUAAAUCACUAGCAAAACAUUCCAGCAAAGGAGAAUUCAAAUGUUUAAAUAAAGGUAAAUAAGAAAGAGACAUGGCUGUCAAAAUCUUUGGGGGUAGUCUCAAAUGUCUCAAUGGUAGCCCACAUACUGCCCUUUUGGUUAGACUUCUUCCAACCACAGCUAAGUUUAAUUCAUUCUCAUGUCCUUGGAAAAAAAAAAUUGUACAGUAUAUACUGAGGCUGGGUAUAAGCAUGCCCUUUUUCUCAGAGUGCUUGUAUAGUGUUAAUCAUAGUUAAUUCACUUAACAGUAACAUGAACAGUCAAGUGUGUUUUCUUCUUCAAAAAUUCUACCAUAGACCCAUUAUUAACUAAUGCAGUAUUAUCUUGUAAUAGCUGUCACCUCCUUGACCAUACAUCAUAUCACCUACCCUGGAUUAAAGUAAUACUGUAAUCUGUAAUGAGAAUUAUAUCUGACAGAAAGAAAUGUGCUUGACUUUUUCUUUUCAUAGUCAGACUAUUUUGAAGAAUCCUUUGCCAAAAUAUGAUCUUAAAAAUAAUUCAGAAAGUUUUUUUUUCAGAGAGUCAGGGAGUCUUUUGUUCCACAAUAAAAUUUAUCUGCUCGCUCUAAUUCCUCUGGAUAUUUGGGGUUUCAGUGUCUAUUCCUGUUUGAACCUCAGGCAACUUGCCGCAUCACCUUCAAUCAUGGGCACUUAUCACUAGCUGCACUGUCAGAAGAUUAAUAACCAAGUUAGAGAAAAUCUUAAAAUAAAAAGUUUCCAGGUAACUCACCAGAGAACCACAGCUGUAAUUACAGCUAGGGAGAGAUCACAAAAGGGUAAGGUGGCCUCCUGCAGACAUUGACACAUUAAAUUAUAAACAGAUGCUAUGCUAUUCCUUCAAAUACUUAUCAUGGUCACACUAAUAUUCCAUCCAUCUUGCUAGUAAUAUUUUUCCCCUAGUGGAGAGGGUAGUCUCCUAAAGAAUUCAUUUUUUUCCAAAGUUGAAGCCCCAUUCCACCACUGAAAUUCAGACUGGAAAGAGCAGUCAAAAGUAUACAGAGGCAGAACAAUUGCUGGCACUAUUAUAAAGAUAGGGUUGAAUAAACUAAAGAUAAAACAAGAUACAAGAUAAAACCCAAACAUUCCCACACAAUCAAAGUCUGACUGUGCUUGACCUCUAUUUCCCCAUCCUAAGCCAACUAGCAUCUCUUUUGAGAUGGAACACUGGGAAUGGGAUAACGAACAUUGGCAGAAGCCUGGUGUUGAUCUGCAGACAGCAGCUGGAGGAAGAAACCUGCCUAACAUCUUUUUCUCCUUCUCUGAAUCCCCAGACAAACCUUCUGACAGCCAGAUUGUGGCCUGGGGCUGUGAGGAGCAGGAACAAGCUGUCCUCUUCCUGAGAGUGGAAAAGAAGAAUGAGCACCCUGAAGUUCCUUUUCCAAGCAGCUGAUUAGAGCCAAGCACUCAGCCUGGACCAGCAGGUGAGCUAAGGGUGAAGGAUGUUAAACACAGAGCUAGCUUGCCUGUCCUUUUGCUGCUGCUCUGGGAUCUAAAGAGCCAUCUCUAUCACAAAAGCAUCUGCACAAGACCUUUAUGCAAGGAUGAAUUUUAUUUGAUCCUAAAAAGACUUUAAAGGCAAUGAAAUGUAUGUCACUGAUCUGCACCCUGGGAAUCUGGCCAGUAAAAACAGGCUGCCUAUUUAUUAGGCACUGAUUAUGUGUCACACACAUUGUCACCCAAUUUUCAAUUAUAUUAAAUAACCAAAAAACAGAAUCUAGUAGGGUACAUCUGACUUAGCCUAUGAAGAUAAGGAUACAAAAUCUUGAAUCAGAUAUAGACAUUCCUUUUAGGGGAAUGGAGCACAUGCUUUUAGAAUAUUUAAGUAUCAUGCUCAAGGAGCUACUUGUCUGGCAAAUAACAGCUUCUGAAAGAGAAGGAUUACUUUUCUCGAUAUGUUGGUCAGAGCAAUGACAAUAAUUCCUCCCUCUUUAAAGAGUCACGUUCUUUCCCAUUACCUUCUCGUACUCCUAAGGCAGGCAGGUGUUGUCUAGUGUCAUAGGGCAGAGUUCCCAAAUUCACUUUCAUUUGAAAAUUUCCUCAAUUUUUUCCCUGGAAAAAGUAUGUUUCCAGCUCUCACCUAAAGAUGAGGUUGAUUCAGUGUUAUGUCCUGCAAUUGUCACUUCAUUCAACUACUUUCAGUGCUGCAAAAACCAAAUCUGUUUCCAGUGCAGCUUGUGAAAAUUCCUACUUGGGGCAUGGCACUCAUACUUUUCAGAAAGGAUUAGACAUAUUUAUGGAUUAUUAUUGUGUUUCAAAUUAAAACACAGGGUUUUUUAUCUCUUGCACUGGAACGUCCUUGUUCUAUGCUAACUUCUAUUAACAGCUAAACUGUGUCCACUUGUC